UUCUUUUAAACAAAAAUACUAACUAGGUGAACUUUCCAUGAAUUGUAUUUGUUUUUUUACUUUACAGGUGUUACAUAACCAAGUAUUAUUGAAUUUUAGGAAAAUAGUAAAAUAUUCCUGCCGACUCGCCCAAUGUUAAAAAAUGAAGAAGAGACGAGAGUUUUUCUUGUUGUUGUUUUGCUCAUUGUCUCGAAACCACCGUUUUCGACAUCGAAAAUCUCGGAAAUAAAGCGUACGUGUUCUUGUUGUUGUUGUUCUUGCUCAUCUUCCUCCUCAUGAAUAUCAUCUUUUCAUCAUCAUCUAUUUCCAACUAAUCUCCAUGUAAUAAAUAGCUUCAUAAAUCAUCAUGAGAGAAAGAUAUUGUCAUUUUUGCAAAUCUGCGAGUAGCGAAUAAUAAUAAUAUGCAUUCCAAUACUAUUUUUUCCUUCUUUAGCUACAUCCAUGUUUUUUGUGUGUUAUUAUGGAACCUUGGUCUUGAGAAAAUAAAAAAAAUGUAUAGUUUCUGUAACAACCCAAAUUCAGAUGUGGGCUAAUUUGAAAAUUGCAGCCCAUUAGGCCCAAUUAUUUUCAAAAGAACUAGAACGACUAAAGGGUUUAUGGUGUGAGUGUGUGUGCACAUAUAUCGCCGUCUUCGUGUUGGCAAGAGAGGAGAGUUGUGAACCCUAAAAUCAGACCAGCAGCUUGAUCUUUGAGCCUCCGAAUGCUAAAGCCGUGUUGGUGUCGUUGUUUGUAAAAGGAAGUAAUGGAGAGGCGAUGUUACGUUGGCGACUGUCUUGGCGUGUCGUGGAGGAGAUGCGUUGUUAAACAACGUUAGCCGUUCACCAUCGUCGGACACCACCGGUCACCACUGUUGGUCAGUCACCCACCGUGUAUCACCAGAGAUUUCAGCCGCUGUCACCGGAGCAGCCAUAGCCGUCGCAGAGAUUGAUAAGGGUAAGGAAACCCUAGAUUUAUUUUGUAACUUGCGGGAUAAGUUUCUAAUAUUAUCUUGAUGGAUUGUUGCUUUGUUGUUGUUUAAUUGUUGAGUCAUGAGGACGUAACCACCGUGGGCUGAACCGUCUCGUGGAGCCACCGAACAGGUCCGCCGAGAAAGAUCAAGAUUGUUGUUACGUGUUCUAAAGUGUGGAUUUGACCCGUUUGGUUAAGGUUAGUAAAUAUCAAGAGUUGUAUCUUGAAGUUUGUUUGCUGGUGAAUUUUAAAGAAAAAAAUAUUUUUGGCCAGACCGGAUAGAUUACAUGUUGUUCCGUCUUUUGCAACGGUACAGGUUUUACA